rnacentral:tRNA from 1 species
GCCGAAAUAGCUCAGGUGGGAGAGCGUCAGACUGAAGAUCUGAAAGGUCCCUGGUUCAAUCCCGGGUUUCGGCA